rnacentral:rRNA from 1 species
UACGUAGGGACCGAGCGUUGUCCGGAUUCAUUGGGCGUAAAGAGCUCGUAGGCGGCUGCUCAAGUCGAAUGUGAAAACUCGAGGCUCAACCUCGAGCCUGCAUUCGAUACUGGGCGGCUAGAGUCUGGUAGGGGGAUCUGGAAUUCCUGGUGUAGCGGUGGAAUGCGCAGAUAUCAGCAGGAACACCCGUGGCGAAGGCGGCCCCCUGGGCCGUACCUGACGCUGAGGCGCGAAGGCUAGGGGAGCGAACGGG